rnacentral:rRNA from 1 species
CGGCAACAGCUCAAAUUUGAAAUCUGGCCCCAGGCCCGAGUUGUAAUUUGCAGAGGAUGCUUUUGGCGCGGUGCCUUCCGAGUUCCCUGGAACGGGACGCCAUAGAGGGUGAGAAUCCCGUC